rnacentral:rRNA from 1 species
CGUGUAGGCGGCUUGGCAAGUCGAGUGUGAAAGCCCGGGGCUCAACCCCGGAAGGUCGCUCGAAACUGCCUCGCUCGAGUCCCGGAGAGGAAGGCGGAAUUCCCGGUGUAGAGGUGAAAUUCGUAGAUAUCGGGAGGAACACCAGCGGCGAAGGCGGCCUUCUGGACGGUGACUGACGCUGAGACGCGAAAGCGUGGGGAGCAAACAGGAUUAGAUACCCUGGUAGUCCACGCCGUAAACGUUGGGUGCUAGGUGUCGCGGGUAUUGACCCCUGCGGUGCCGCCGCUAACGCAUUAAGCACCCCGCCUGGGGAGUACGGUCGCAAGGCUAAA